UCGGGAGAGGGAGGGAGAACGAGAGCUCAGAGCUGCGUGAAGUGCAUUGACGACUCAGACAAGGAAAGGGGAAAAGUCGCCAGACACACGAAAAAGUCGCCAGAUUUGUUGUCAGUCGCUAGAUAAGAUUUGCAGUCGCCAGAGACGGCCAAAAGUCGCUAAAUCUAGCGACAAAGUCGCUAAAUUGGCAACACUGAUGACACCACGAAAGACGUACAUUGCGCAGAGCCGCAAGAUUCCUUGGACCACACACAUAUCAAGUUCAAACAAUGUAAGUUGCAUAAUUUUCAGAAAUUCAUUUAAACUAGCGGAUAGGUAGCCUUAAUCAAUGCUUGCAACACUGUCGGAAAAAAGUUUCUCCUUCUAUUUUUUAAGUUGUAGGCUACAGGUGACGAAAGCACAGGUUGACGGAACCAACGGUUUGGGACUCGUUUUCCGACUGGUGUUUUUUAUUUGCAACACAGAUUAAUUUAGCUCGGCAGUUAGCCUGCCAUCGACCAGUGGGGCAUACUACGAAUCUCGAUUAGUGGGUUAGCGAGGUAUGUUGCGCUCAAAGCCAGGGUAUGCUGUCAUACGAAAGUGGAUUUGUUUUAGCGUCGCUGUAUCACCAUGGUAUCUUAUGCUCGCAACCAAACCUGGUCGGGAGCAGGUUAUGUGCUUAGUUAUAGCUCAAAUCGUGAAAAAUCACCGCCCUCUGACCAAUUCUAACCAAUCCAUUAUCUUGGAUAACGAAGUUAUCUCACGUGUGCUAAUCUGUCAAACUUCGAACAGGUUCAGCCCCGCCUCUGCAAACAUUUUGAAUCUCGAAGGCGCUUUUAACUAUGUUGCGCGUGCAAAUAUGUCACUACUAUGGACGUGCAUACCAUGCAAUAUUUGAUGACCAUCGAUUUUUUGAUGUUAUGGGUUAGACACUAAAAAAGACCACCCUAGAUUUCUGUGCCGUUCAUAAAUGCGGAAGUAAUCGUUGGUUAACCGAGGCUGUCUUGUGCGUCUCCACGUUUCCCGAUUGGUCAAAGUCACCCCAACCACGAGAACGCGCACAGAUCUGAGCUGAAAGCCUAGUUUGAUAAAUUCAUCCUUGAGUGAGUUUCGUAGUACCACUCAACUCUGAUUGCGACUUUCGUUUUUAGCAAUCCAGGUUAUCCAAAGAAAACCUGGUUAUGUUCAACGAGAUUCGUAGUAUACCCCACAGGUUAGUUCAGAAGCAUAUGUUACCCCAGCAACUCAGCUGAGAUUCCUGUUAGCAGGAGUAAUGGAACCGAGCUCUCUCUAAAAUUAGCGAGGCUUAUCAAAGUUAGCCGCGAUUUACGGUUAGCUCGCUUGAUGGAAUACCCCCUUGGUCGGGAGCAGGUUAUGUGCUAAGUUAUAGCUCAAAUCGUGAAAAACUACCGCCCUCUGGCCAAUUCUAACCAAUCCAUUAUCUUGAAAGACGAAGUUAUCUCACGUGUGCUAAUCUGUCAUACUUAGAACAAGUUCAGCCCCGCCUCUGCAAACAUUUUGAAACUCGAAGGCGCUUUUAACUAGGUUGCGCGUGCAAAUAUGUCACUACUAUGGACGUGCAUACCAUGCAAUAUUUGAUGACCAUCGAUUUUCUGAUGUUAUGGGUUAGACACUAAAAAAGACCACCCUAGAUUUCUCUGCCGCUCAUAAAUGCGGAAGUAAUCGUUGGUUAACUGUCUUGUGCGUCUCCACGUUUCCCGAUUGGUCAAAGUCACCCCAACCACGAGAACGCGCACAGAUCUGAGCUGAAAGCCUAGUUGGACAAAUUCAUCCUUGAGUGAGUUUCGUAGUACCACUCAACUCUGAUUGCGACUUUCGUUUUUAGCAAUCCAGGUUAUCCAAAGAAAACCUGGUUAUGUUCAACGAGAUUCGUAGUAUACCCCACCGGUGUUCUCGUCUGUGUUCAUACUCGUAGGGCAAUGUUUAUCGUUACCAUGGCAAUUUGUACUUUCUGCCUUGCUCUGCAAGCAGGCUUUCUUGCAAAGUGAAAACCAGCGCCCCAAGUGGUUGCGUUCCUAUCGAAGAGCAGCUCCAAUGUUGAGUCCCAUAGACCGACUUUUCAAAAAAAUACUACGCAGCUAUACCAGCGAUCCCCAGAUAGCAAACUUCAUUGAUUUAAAGUUGAAAAUUGGUCAGAUUGGUUGAUGUUUGGUUGAAUUUAAAAAGUCAACAUCAAUUCAAUGUUUAAGUGUAAUCAUAAUUUCAACGUUGAAAAACUGGCGUUGAAUCAACAUUGCUUAAAGGUUGGGUUUCCCAUGAUUUAAAGUUAAGCAUUUCAUCAACAUUGUUUCAAUGUCAAUGUUCCGAAGGUAUGGGCCAAAGAUUCUAGAAUAGAGCUUUGGUACGCGCUUUAAUCAACCAUCCAAUCAGCAAGCAGCAUUUUAUUUGAAUUUUCUCCCGGAGGAGUUGGAUCCUCUCGCUGCAGUGCAAACGUUAAGAGAAGAAGACGUAGAAGUAUCAGCUUAACGUUUGUAAAGGUAAGUUCGACAUUUCUCAUUUUUUAUCGGUCACUAUUGAGAAACUAAACUAGAAAAAGUUGUUGAAUAGGUUAUUCCAAGAUGUAGUUCGACCGUGUUGGUGAAAUAACUGAAUUUGGUGUUCGUUAGUGCUAACAUCAUUAUGCUAGUGAGUUAGAUUAGCUAGCUAUUAUGUUAAUAUUCGUUUUUAGACUUGAAGUUGGAAAGGUUGCUAUUGAUUCACGGUUAAAUUGUUAUCGAUACGUGGAUGGUUAGUCUAGUGUUGGUUGGUUGGUUACCAUUAACAGGUACAUCCAUUUUGAAGAUUGGAGCACCAGAACUAACUGCUAACCGUUAGCUUCGUAGCAGCUAAUAGCUAGCAGAGCUCCAGCCCCUGCCGUGACCCAGCUUUCCCGAAGGGAGCUCUCAACACCUGGGACCGUUGAUCCGCUGAGCUCGGUAGCAAGAGUGCUAUGAAUAUUACCGACACACGUAAAAGAAUGAUCUGCAUAUGCGUUGGCGACUCUGGUCGUAGGUGUGACCCACUGUUUCACUGACUAGCUAAUCAGAAAACCAUCGUCAAAUAUUGCCUUUCAAACAAUUUCAAACCACUCGUCAGCCAGCGCUUUUGCUGCCCAAACUUCUAAAACGUAGGCAAUCAUUUUUCACUGCUAGCAAUCCUCGUGGGUCGUGGAGGGCUCGUCAGUCAGCUCUUCCCAUAUGGAAAAUAUAGAAAGAACUUAUAUGCCAGCAAUGUGUCUUAUAUACAAAACUUGUAUGGUUUACUCUUGAAAGUGGCCCCUUUCUCGUUUUCCUCAUACAACGUCAUAUUAUAGCUGCUAGUCCUUACAGGUUACAAUGUUUUAUGUUUCAGGUUACACAGAUUUAGCAAGGAUCUUAUAAUGGUUUCACUGGCAUAUAAACCUGAUAUGAGUAAAUCAUAAACGUUUUGUAUAUAAAACACAUUGCUGGCAUAUAAGUUUUUCUAUAUCUUUUCCGUAUGGGUUUUGCUCACAACAAUUCUCAUUUUGGUAGAUUGUGGUCGUCUUAAAUAUCCAUAUAAUGUCAUGUCUCAUGACCGGUCUCAUUGACAGUGGUCUUCUGUCACCACUGUAUCCCCAAAUUAUUGUUUCUAUCUUUUUGUUGCAUAGCUACAGCUCACUUCAUCAUCCUAGGUAUGCCACAGCUUCCCCCCCACACACUCCCAUUUGAAACUCCAAAUAUAUGCCUAAAGUGUCCCCUCUUCUUUCUCCUUGUGCAGAUGUCCUGGCUCUCAACAAAGGCACCAGACAGGAUUGUUUUUUCUCUUGCAUAAGCACUUCCUGAUGUCCACUACACUCUUUUCUCAAUCUUCUCCAGUCUUUUGCAAACUGUGAUGUUCAGAUGUCCUAUAAGCCUGACUUCCUGAUGUCCACUACACUCCGUUCUCAACCUUCUCCGGUCUUCUGCAAACUGUGAAUGCCUCCUUGUGUUGGAUUCAUGAUGUUCACCAUACUGCACGGCCGACUUUUUUCUUCGCAAGCUAUGGAAAGAAACUCUGUUCAGCUCAUGAAACGGACUGUUCACAUUUUUUUACUUUUGUGGAGGAAGCAGGGUAUCCUGGUAAUUUAAUUUUGCAGCUACUAUGCUCUCGUAUAUAGGCCCAACAAAGAGAGAAAUCUGAACUGGCAAAGCUGCUCUAUAUGCAUCACAGGUCGAUAUUGUUGACCUUCACAAAUCAGUUUCAGUUGUACAUUUAGAUAAUUCCAAACAUUGAUGUCAACACACUGCUGUUCUUGUACCUAAUAAUAACUUUGAGUUAGUCAUGGCAAAAUGUGUGCGAAAUAUGUGAUGGUUGACUUCAAAGUAAGCACUCAUGUUUGACACAUUGAACUUGUAGUAGAGUUGUUUGCAUUAAUUGAACAGGCCAUCUUUGUUUUUUUGUAUGUGAAGGUCAUUAACAAGGAAUAAAAUGAUUGUUUCGUAUUAAACACCUUUGUUAUUCAUUUUGCUUAGUGAGACUUGAGACAAAUGUUAAGCCAACUUGAAUUCAUGGUUAUUAUGGCAAUGGUAUGUUUGGGGAACUGUGCUUUUUUUAUUACUUAAAAUCUUCAUUUUUACUGUUCAAAGCGCAGUUUGUUGCACUGUAUUUAUUACGGACAUGUUAGGCCAGCCGAUACAACCUUUACCGGCAGCUGGUUCCAGAACCUCACUGCGUAAGUUAAAGUGUUACGUUG